UGUUCCUCCAAGUUGAUGGCUCCUACAAGGCACUCCAUAGGAAACGGAUCAUGCGUGAUCCUGCUGGUUUUCCUAUCCUCACAAUGCGAGAAAAGGUACAAGUUUUCUCUUCCUCCCUGAAGAAUAAACCGAAGCGACAAGAGCCCUAAUCUAGUUCUAUAUACAGGUAAAUCUUGACCUGGUGUAAGGGCGUAACUUUUAUUUCUUUUCUUAUUCUUAUGAUGUUUUAUAAGGCAAUCAUCCGUCAACAAUGAACUGUUCAUAGAGGUGAAAGUUCAGACAAAAGUCAGCUUCUCUUAAAUGUGCGGCGAUCACACUCUAUCCAUAUGAAAACAAGGCUUGAUGUGUUCUUGCCAAGUAACAUCAAUGAAGAUAUCAGCAAUUUCCUGGUUGUUGAUUCUUACCCCUCUCAGUCCUCCAGAGUUUACAAAGGGGAUACUGUUAUUACUGAGGUGAAUUACAACUUAUCAUGGAAAAGCUUCUGCCAGGGUACAAAAGAGGAUUUCAGGAUUAAGGUUUGUCCUGGUGUGGAUUAUGCCUUCAUUGUUGCAUUGGUUAUGAUCCUUGUGGAGAGUAACAUGAUGUUACGUGCUAUCUGAAGUUUCUUCUUUCUUUUCUACCAAAAUUCCUGGUUGUUUUUUUACUUUGUCCAAUAUGUUGUGCUUGUUAAUGCAGACCUUAUUAUAUAUAAUUGCAUUGUAUUUUAAGUUAAUCUCUUAAUUUAAGAUAUUAUCGUAUAUUUAAGGAAACAUCUUCCCUCCCUUUAAUCCUUUUUUUCAAAGAUCAAAAGUAAACAAGUCUUAAUAACUUAAUCUUCCCCUGAACUUUCAAUAUAAAGGCUAUACAGUGCAGCUAAUUGAUAUUUAUCUGUCAAACAAAUCCACAACAGUAUCUGUAUCAGAAAGCAAAAGACUGAACUCUUGCAAGACUGAUUUCGCUGAGAUUCUUAUCUGAAAUUCAUUCAUCAACAAAUAAAUAUAAUGUAAUUGACUGUUUUGGGGACACCAAGAGUUUAAGCUGCUCAAUUUUUAAUGAAACAAACAACAAAACAAAUGACACACUACAAUACAAGUACCUCUGCCAAAAAAGAAUGGGGAAAGAA